GGUCACUGUCUCCAGGAACGUCGGUCACGGAUAAGCCCCCAGUGAAGGGACUUAGGAAGCCUCUCCCCCUUCGUGUUCUUUCCCCAGAGAGUCUUCCGAGAUGGAAAUGCUUGCAAGGAAGGAAGAGACACUUUCUAUCUUCUGCCAUCAGAAGCACAGAAGGGUGAAGCCAGGCACACCCAGAGAAGCAUCUCAUGUUGUGUGUGGCUGCUGCAGCGCUCUCUUGGGCCCUGGGGCAGGAGAUGCUCAAAGGUCAACAGGACUUGGGAAGGCAGCUGUGAGUAAAGCCCCCAGUCCUGGUCCUGGACUCACUGCACCAGGGACCCCAAGGGGCUAAACAUGACUGGAUUGUAGCAAGCCAUUUUCAACAUGCAAAGAAGCAACCAGGAAGAAUGUCUAAUUACAGAUGUGCUAUUUCUCUCCUCUU
rnacentral:lncRNA from 1 species